AGAAUGAAGGCUAUAUAAUCUUAUGCGGAUCUCAUUAAUGGUCUCUUGAGAACGGCA
rnacentral:sRNA from 1 species